ACUCCUACGGGAGGCAGCAGUGGGGAAUAUUGCACAAUGGGGAAACCCUGAUGCAGCCAUGCCGCGUGUGUGAAGAAGGCCUUCGGUUGUAAAGCACUUUCAGUAGGGAGGAAGGUAGUGUAGUUAACACCUGCAUUAUUUGACGUUACCUACAGAAGAAGCACCGGCUAACUCCGUGCCAGCAGCCGCGGUAAUACGGAGGGGUGCGAGCGUUAAUCGGAAUUACUGGGCGUAAAGCGCAUGCAGGCGGCCUGUUAAGUCAGAUAGUGAAAGCCCGGGGGCGUUAACCUCGGAAUUGCAUUUGAAACUAGGCAGGCUAGAGUCUGUAGAGGGGGUAGGAAGUUUCAGGUGUAGUCGGU
rnacentral:rRNA from 1 species